rnacentral:rRNA from 1 species
AUGCCUAACACAUGCAAGUCGAACGGCAGCACGACAUAGUUUACUAUGUUGGUGGCGAGUGGCGCACGGGUGAGUAACGCGUAGGAAUAUACCUUAAAGAGGGGGAUAACUUGGGGAAACUCAAGCUAAUACCGCAUAAGCUCUAAGGAGGAAAGCUGGGGACUGUAAGGCCUGGCGCUUUAAGAUUAGCCUGCGUCCGAUUAGCUAGUUGGUAGGGUAAGGGCCUACCAAGGCGACGAUCGGUAGCUGGUCUGAGAGGAUGAUCAGCCACACUGGGACUGAGACACGGCCCAGACUCCUACGGGAGGCAGCAGUGGGGAAUAUUGGACAAUGGGGGAAACCCUGAUCCAGCAAUGCCGCGUGUGUGAAGAAGGCCUGAGGGUUGUAAAGCACUUUCAGUGGGGAGGAGGAUUUAUAGGUUAAGAGCUAGUACAUUGGACGUUACCCACAGAAGAAGCACCGGCUAACUCCGUGCCAGCAGCCGCGGUAAUA